UGGGGAAUAUUGCACAAUGGGCGCAAGCCUGAUGCAGCCAUGCCGCGUGUAUGAAGAAGGCCUUCGGGUUGUAAAGCACUUUCAGCGGGGAGGAAGGCGGUGAGGUUAAUAACCUCAUAGAUUGACGUUACCCGCAGAAGAAGCACCGGCUAACUCCGUGCCAGCAGCCGCGGUAAUACGGAGGGUGCAAGCGUUAAUCGGAAUUACUGGGCGUAAAGCGCACGCAGGCGGUCUGUCAAGUCGGAUGUGAAAUCCCCGGGCUCAACCUGGGAACUGCAUUCGAAACUGGCAGGCUAGAGUCUUGUAGAGGGGGGUAGAAUUCCAGGUGUAGCGGUGAAAUGCGUAGAGAUCUGGAGGAAUACCGGUGGCGAAGGCGGCCCCCUGGACAAAGACUGACGCUCAGGUGCGAAAGCGUGGGGAGCAAACAGG
rnacentral:rRNA from 1 species